rnacentral:pre_miRNA from 1 species
AUAUGAAUCACCUGAGAAUCUUGUUAACAAGCAGAUUCUGAUUCAGUAGGUCUGGGGUGGGACCUGGAUUCUGCAUUUUUAGUAAUCUUCUAGGUGAUGUUCCU